UACAGAGGUCUCAAGCGUUGUUCGGAUUCAUUGGGCGUAAGGGGUGCGUAGGUGGCGUGGUAAGUCGGGUGUGAAAUUUCGGAGCUUAACUCCGAAACUGCAUUCGAUACUGCCGUGCUUGAGGACUGGAGAGGAGACUGGAAUUUACGGUGUAGCAGUGAAAUGCGUAGAGAUCGUAAGGAAGACCAGUGGCGAAGGCGGGUCUCUGGACAGUUCCUGACACUGAGGCACGAAGGCCAGGGGAGCAAACGGG
rnacentral:rRNA from 1 species